rnacentral:rRNA from 1 species
AUGAACGCUGGCGGCGUGCCUAAUCCAUGCAAGUCGCGCGAACAGACGAGGAGCUUGCUCCUUUGACGUUAGCGGCGGACGGGUGAGUAACACGUGGGUAACCUACCUAUAAGACUGGGAUAACUUCGGGAAACCGGAGCUAAUACCGGAUAAUAUUUCGAACCGCAUGGUUCGAUAGUGAAAGAUGGCUUUGCUAUCACUUAUAGAUGGACCUGCGCCGUAUUAGCUAGUUGGUAAGGUAACGGCUUACCAAGGCAACGAUACGUAGCCGACCUGAGAGGGUGAUCGGCCACACUGGAACUGAGACACGGUCCAGACUCCUACGGGAGGCAGCAGUAGGGAAUCUUCCGCAAUGGGCGAAAGCCUGACGGAGCAACGCCGCGUGAGUGAUGAAGGUCUUCGGAUCGUAAAACUCUGUUAUUAGGGAAGAACAAACGUGUAAGUAACUGUGCACGUCUUGACGGUACCUAAUCAGAAAGCCACGGCUAACUACGUG